AUUGAACGCUGGCGGCAGGCCUAACACAUGCAAGUCGAGCGAGCGGCGGACGGGUGAGUACUGUCUGGGAAACUGCCUGAUGGCUGGGGAUAACUACUGGAAACGGUAGCUCAUACCGCAUACCAUCAGAUGUGCCCAGAUGGGAUUCGCUAGUAGGUGGGGUAACGGCUCACCUAGGCGACGAUCCCUAGCUGGUCUGAGAGGAUGACCAGCCACACUGGAACUGAGACACGGUCCAGACUCCUACGGGAGGCAGCAGUGGGGAAUAUUGCACAAUGGGCGAAAGCCGGAUGCAGCCAGGCCGCGUGUGUGAAGAAGGCCUUCGGGUUGUAAAGCACUUUCAGCGGGGAGGCGGUACCCGAAGAAGAAGCACCGGCUAACUCCGUGCCAGCCGCCGCGGUAAUUC
rnacentral:rRNA from 1 species